rnacentral:rRNA from 1 species
GACGAACCGUGCGAACGUUGUUCGGAAUCACUGGGCUUAAAGGGCGCGUAGGCGGGCUGCCAAGUCCGUAGGUGAAAUCCCCCGGCUCAACCGGGGAACGGCCUCGGAUACUGGCGGCCUGGAGGGGGGUAGGGGCGUGCGGAACUGUGGGUGGAGCGGUGAAAUGCGUUGAGAUCCACAGGAACUCCGGUGGCGAAGGCGGCACGCUGGACCCUUUCUGACGCUGAGGCGCGAAAGCCAGGGGAGCAAACAGG